rnacentral:rRNA from 1 species
UAGGGAAUCUUCCGCAAUGGGCGAAAGCCUGACGGAGCAACGCCGCGUGAGUGAUGAAGGUCUUCGGAUCGUAAAACUCUGUUAUUAGGGAAGAACAAAUGUGUAAGUAACUAUGCACGUCUUGACGGUACCUAAUCAGAAAGCCACGGCUAACUACGUGCCAGCAGCCGCGGUAAUACGUAGGUGGCAAGCGUUAUCCGGAAUUAUUGGGCGUAAAGCGCGCGUAGGCGGUUUUUUAAGUCUGAUGUGAAAGCCCACGGCUCAACCGUGGAGGGUCCAUUGAAACUGGGAAACUUGAAUGGAGAAGGGGAAAGUGGAAUUCCAUGUGUAGGGGUGAAAUGCGCAGGGAUAUGGAGGAACACCAGUGGCGAAGGCGACUUUCUGGUCUGGAACUGACGCUGAUGGGCGAAAGCGUGGGGAUCAAACAGG